CUCGGCCGCUCUCUCGGUUUACCGCCCCCUGUGUCCAGAGAUCACAGAUGGAGAGACAUUUUGCCACACGAUUAAUCACACAGAAUUAAUAAAGUAAAACCAUCUGAAUAAGUUCAUCCCAAGCUGAUUCUGAUGGAUGGUCUGGCGGAUUUAUAAACUCUCCUCUGUCA